GCGACCUCAGGUUCAGGCGGGGCUACCCGCUGAGU
rnacentral:rRNA from 1 species